rnacentral:rRNA from 1 species
GUUGUCCGGAUUUAUUGGGCUUAAAGGGUGCGUAGGCGGCAUUUUAAGUCAGUGGUGAAAUACUUCAGCUUAACUGGAGAGGUGCCAUUGAUACUGGGAUGCUUGCGUACUGAUGAGGUAGGCGGAAUGGACGGUGUAGCGGUGAAAUGCUUAGAUAUCGUCCAGAACACCGAUAGCGAAGGCAGCUUACUAAGGAGUAACUGACGCUGAGGCACGAAAGUGUGGGGAUCAAACAGG